UACGUAGGAGGCGAGCGUUAUCCGGAUUCACUGGGCGUAAAGCGCAUGUAGGCGGUUGCACAAGUCCGUUGUUAAAGCCCCUGGCUCAACUGGGGGAGGUCAAUGGAGACUGUGCGACUUGAGGGCAAUAGAGGCACGUGGAACUCCCGGUGUAGCGGUGGAAUGCGUAGAGAUCGGGAAGAACACCAGUGGCGAAGGCGACGUGCUGGGUUGCACCUGACGCUGAGAUGCGAAAGUGUGGGGAGCAAACGGG
rnacentral:rRNA from 1 species